rnacentral:rRNA from 1 species
UACGAGGGGGGCAAGUGUUGUUCGGAAUUACUGGGCGUAAAGGGAGCGUAGGCGGGCUCUUAAGUUGGAUGUUUAAAACCGGGGCCUAACCCCGGCGUGGCAUCCAAAACUGGGAGUCUUGAAUGGGACAGAGGCCAGUGGAAUUAGAGGUGUAGCGGUGGAAUGCGUAGAUAUCUCUAAGAACACCGGUUGCGAAGGCGGCUGGCUGGGUCCACAUUGACGCUGAGGCUCGAAAGCGUGGGGAGCAAACAGG